GAUAUUUCCUUGCUUGUCAAUGCAGUAAAAGUUGCCUAAGAAAAACCUUCCAUCUUUAAUACCUAUGAGCAUUCGACGGAACAGCAGCUUUCUUACCUUUCCUACACGAUCUAAAAUCUCUGGGUUAGACUCAACAUUGCUCCCAUCCUGAACCAUGGAUCCUCCUGAUUCUUGUUCCAUCUAUGGUUACUUCAACUGAUCCCGGAAGUAGAAAAG
rnacentral:misc_RNA from 1 species